rnacentral:rRNA from 1 species
AUUGAACGCUGGCGGCAGGCCUAACACAUGCAAGUCGAACGAGUGGCGGACGGGUGAGUAAUGUCUGGGAAACUGCCUGAUGGAGGGGGAUAACUACUGGAAACGGUAGCUAAUACCGCAUACCAUCAGAUGUGCCCAGAUGGGAUUAGCUUGUUGGUGGGGUAACGGCUCACCAAGGCGACGAUCCCUGGCUGGUCUGAGAGGAUAACCAGCAAAAUGGGAACUGAGACACGGUCCAGAUGCCUACGGGAGGCAGCAGUGGGGAAUAUUGGAAAAUGGGGGCAAGCCUGAUGGGGCCAGGCGGCGUGUAGGAAGAAGGCCUUCGGGUUGUAAAGUACGUUCAGCGGGGAGGCGUUACCCGCAGAAGAAGCACCGGCUAACUCCGUGCCAGCAGCCGCGGUAAUAC